rnacentral:rRNA from 1 species
CCGGCGACCGGCGCACGGGUGAGUAACACGUAUGCAUCCUGGCCGUGACAGAUGGAUAACCGGGAGAAAUCCCGCCUAAUACAACAUAAUGCCGGGAGGGGACAUCCCCUGCCGGCCAAAGGGGGCGACCCCGGUCACGGAUGGGCAUGCGGCGCAUUAGGUAGUUGGUGGGGCAACGGCCCACCAAGCCGACGAUGCGUAGGGGUUCUGAGAGGAAGGUCCCCCACAUUGGAACUGAGACACGGUCCAAACUCCUACGGAAGGCAGCAG